UACGAAGGGGGCGAGCGUUGUUCGGAUUUACUGGGCGUAAAGGGCGCGCAGGCGGCUCAUUUUGUCAGGCGUGAAAGCCCCGGGCUUAACCUGGGAGGUGCGUUUGAUACGGAUGGGCUAGAGUUCGGGAGAGGAGAGUGGAAUUCCCAGUGUAGAGGUGAAAUUCGUAGAUAUUCGGAAGAACACCAGUGGCGAAGGCGACUUACUGGACGACCGUUGACGCUGAGGUGCGAAAGCGUGGGGAGCAAACAGG
rnacentral:rRNA from 1 species